rnacentral:rRNA from 1 species
UACAGAGGGUGCAAGCGUUAAUCGGAAUUACUGGGCGUAAAGCGUGUGUAGGUGGUUUGCUAAGUCAGGUGUGAAAUCCCCGGGCUCAACCUGGGAACUGCAUUUGAUACUGGCAAGCUAGAGUGCGGUAGAGGGUAGUAGAAUUCCCGGUGUAGCGGUGAAAUGCGUAGAUAUCGGGAGGAAUACCAGUGGCGAAGGCGGCUACCUGGACUGACACUGACACUGAGACACGAAAGCGUGGGGAGCAAACAGG